rnacentral:rRNA from 1 species
UCAGACGAUGCGUCAUGCAUAUCAAUAAGCGGAGGAAAAGAAACUAACAAGGAUUCCCUUAGUAACGGCGAGUGAAGCGGGAAGAGCUCAAAUUUGAAAUCUUCAAGGUUUUACCUUGACGAAUUGUAGUUUAAAGAAGUGUUUUCUGCUGAAGUUUUGGUAAAAGUUCUUUGGAAUAGGACAUCAUAGAGGGUGAGAAUCCCGUAUUUGACCAUUAUUUUCAGCUUUGUGAUACACUUUCAAAGAGUCGGAUUGUUUGGGAAUGCAGUCCAAAAUGGGUGGUAAAUUUCAUCUAAAGCUAAAUAUUGGCGAGAGACCGAUAGCGAACAAGUACCGUGAGGGAAAGAUGAAAAGAACUUUGAAAAGAGAGUUAAAUAGUACGUGAGAUUGUCAAAAGGGAAGCGUUUAACACCAGUGUUGUUUUCCGAAAAUCAACCUCUGUUAGCUUUAUGCAUGUUUGUUUAGACCUAAUCAGCUAUCUUUCAUGUUCUAUUGUUUGCAGUGGUGCACUUUUCAGUUUACAGGUCAACAUCAGUUUUUUUUACCGUAAAAAAGUUAAAGAAAGGUAGCUCAUGGCUCCGGUCGUGAGUGUUAUAGUCUUUUUCCUAUGCGGUAGGAGAGACUGAGGUCUGCAGUGUAGGCUAUUUGGCUAGAUACUCAGGUGCUAUGUGAUACCAUUUCAUAAACAACUUGUUGAUUAUGUUUUGUCUAUUGCAUACUCGCUUGUACUAUCAUACCUACGCUUAGGAUGUUGACUGAUAUGUAGUCGUA